rnacentral:lncRNA from 1 species
GGUAAUUUCAGAAGAUCAUUCAAAGAAAGUUGACAUCAUUGCUUGGCAUUCAAUUACAUGCCAUGUUCCAUUCAGACCAACUUAUGAUAAUUUAGUCAUCAUUUGGCAUGUGAGAACAGGGAAGUCAUUUAUAAACUUGAAUGGUAUGCAUUCAGAUGUAGUUAACAAUGUGAGCUAGAAUCAGCAUAGCAGCCAGAUCCCCAUUUUCCAAAGACAAGAAAGUGAGAGAAAUUGAUUCUAGAAAAAAAGAAAUUGUUACUGGGAAGGAGAGAAUACAAGAAAGAGCCUAGCGGAGAAUCAUUUUUUUUAGUAGACGGAAGUGUGUUCAUUACUGAUUUCAACCCUAGGAGCAAGUGGCAGCUUAUAUUUUGCAGUUCAAAAAAUAUUCAGGAACUAUUUAACCUUCCUGGAAUGGAUACAGACAAUGGGUGUUGUUGCUAUUCUAUGAUCCUAACACAAGUAUUAUUUUAUAUAUUGAGAAGGAAACUGUGGUAUCUGCCAAUGUGAGACUGUGCCUGCAUCACAUAUGUCCAACGGUAGCAAAGACCCAUACCUAAAAGAGGAUGCGUUGUUAACAAAUAGGAGAUGGCCAAAUUCUUCAAAAUCCAAAAGAGAAGUUAGAUGUCAAUUUAUGUGACUAUUCUUAGAAGUUUAACCUUUUCCAGUAAGACCUAUAUUCAGGUACUGUGGGAUCUUAAGCAGUUCUAGAAUGUUAAGAAUGGUUGAAGGGUAAAUAAUAAGAAGAAUAAUUCUUAUAAGCUUGAAACAUGCGUAUGUUACAGAAUAAAAUAACAAUCCCAGG